GUUAAAAUAUUAGAAAUCAUAUUAGACUGACAGAAAACUUGUAGCUAUGUUAAGCCUAAAAUAAUUCUGAGUAUCUUCAUUUUAUGAAGCUCUUACAUAACCUAGGAGCUGGCAGGAGUUAGACUGACUCAGAAUCCCUGGGUACUUCUGGGUUUUAAGUAUGUCAUACUAGUGUCCUUUCACUCCAGCUGAAGAAAAAUGAUUCUAAUGUUCCAGUGACUUCAAAUGAAGUUUCCUUUUUUUUUUUUUUUUCUAGACAGGACCCUUUAGAACAGGACUAGCAAAUGUGGGAAGAAGGGAUAAGUAACACUCUGCCUUUUUUAUCCCUAUUAAAACAUGGUUGGUAUUUUAGAUAUAUGAAAUCCUGAUGACCAGACUCAUAUCAAUCCUAAUGCUGCUGACAGUUUUGUGGAGGAGAUCUUUGGAGAUAACAUGGAAAACAAAACUCAGACUGGAAAUGAUGAUUCAUCUUCAUGAAGGAAAUCUGUCAAUGAAACAGUAUAAUUAAAACAGUCCAUAGCACAGGGUUAGCAAUGAACCAGGACACUGAAACCAACUGCCAGAGCGGUGCCACACAUGCUUGUGUUAUGCACCGACAUUUAAGACAUACAAAGAAAAAUGGCCUCAGGGGAACCACCUCCAAUGAAUCACAGAAGGUUUGUUCAAACAGUUUUCGAUUACUCACUCUGAGCACACAUUGGCUGAAGAGGUUUAGAUAAUCUGCUGUACAGGAACGGAUUGGUGGGGAGGAUCACCAGACAGCAUUGCACCAGCCCACGUCAUUUCUGGAUGCCCUCCAAAGGCAGGACGCAAACACAACUGCUGAGCAGCCUGUUCCUGCCAGAGCGUAGGGAGGCACUGGCCCAGCAGUGCCCUGCAGGAAACUUUCCCUUCCAGGACACGGGGAAGUUUUGUGCUGCAGCAUUCAUGGGAGCAUGGAGAAACCUGCUCCUGCUGCUCUCUCGUUCCACCAGCUGUGGAUUUUUGUGGCUGGAUACAGUUGGACAGAGAGCAGUCACUCAAGUUCCAUCAUGUACUCGGGGCAGGCUUACGUACAACAUAAGCACUUCUAAAAUGCUGCAGUCUGGCUUUGCUUCUUUUUUGGUUCUGAGGUCAGUUCACUGUUUAUUAUCUGAAUGCAAAAAGCAGCAGACAGGUAAUGUGGGAGGAGCAUACUUGUGCCUUCUCAAUUUUAAAUCCCUUUAAUAUUUUGCUUCUCAGUCAGAUUUACUAAAUAAUUCCCACCCAUGUUUCCAUAUUUUGCCAAAUUAUUUUGUAAAAUUUAAGGUUUAUUGAUGUUAUUCUGACUGAAUAAAUAGUGUACUCAUGACUGAUUUCACAAUUAAUUCUAGGAUAUAUGCCACGUUAUUUCAAAGUACUAUGAUAACUUGCAGUAUUUAGACUGCAAGCUUAAUCCAGAUCUGGAAUCUGAAAUUAAUUUUAACCUGAUCAGUUUUAUUGUCAUGUCAUAGACACCUUCUGAGGAGUAAGCUACUAAAACAAAAUACCGUAGGCUCUUCUGGUAGAGAGUAAAAAUACAGGCAAAAAAGAAAGUGAGAGUCAAAUUCCCUCAUAUAUUGAUUUAAUAAACUGCCUUUUCACACCCCAGGGAUAAAAAAUCCCCAACACAAUGAAGCUGUUUCUAAAAGUAUUCUUAGUGAGCUGAGUGGAAAUACUCAGAAUCAUGAUUACUUGUUUAUUGGAGUGGGUGGUUAUUUUUUCUUAUUUUAUUAAUAGGUACAUGUUUUUCUAGCAUCUUUCUGAUCCCUGUGCUCCCAGCCUUGGAACAGCAGGGCCUGCAGGAAGGGUGGUGCUAGGCAUGGGAACACCCCUGAGCACUGGACAGGUGUUGGAGCUGGAAGGGAUAAUCUUCUGUUUAGACAUGGUACCAAUACUGGUCUAGGUAAACAUGUCACUUGCUGUCUGCUCUGACUGAUUCCCAGAGCUCAUGUCCAUAACAUCCUGGCCUAUUGGUACUUCCAGGAGACUGAAGCCAAGGUAACUAUUUAUGCUAAUAUUAACUUUGUGGAAAGCAGAUGCAAACAUAUCAAUGAGGGCUGACAUCAUGAUUAAAGAUUUUCCUUCUUUUCCUAAAGAUUUGUGUACUUUUACAUCAAAUCUAAAAUACACUUACUACAACAUCUUUUGGCAUAAACUGAGUGUUUCUUGGGGCAUGUUGAUGGCCAUAUACCACCAUCCUCUUCUACACUGACUUGUGCACACACACUGUUUUCUGUUCAUCAGUCUGAGGAUGUGCUCCAAGAGCAGCUCUGAGUCUGAGCAGAGUCCCAGGCUGUGAUUAAACUCCUCAGAAUGUUUGCAUCCCCAAAUGACCACGCGCUCUGAGCCCAGUGAUGAUGAAAUGCAGAAGAGCUGUAAUGCCUUCUUGGUUUUGGGACCUAACCCUUGCCAAAUACCUCACUAGGGCUUCUAGGCUUCUGUGUCCAGCAUCUCAAUUUCCAGGGUUCCACUAUCCAAACUCUGGAUGAACCUCACAUUGUUAUGACCAAGAUUAAGCCCAGAAUCAAGUAAGAUAAAUCAAUCAUAGGCUUAUAUGUGCAAGGGAUAUAAACAGAAGAAAAUGUGCCAUUUCAACAUGGGAUCUUUUUUAGAAUAGCACCAUAUUCACACUAUAAAAUUCUUGCUUGUGUGUCCAUGCACUUGUGCUCCCUCCUGCCAGAAAUUAUUUUAUAAAGUGGCACUUAAAAACAACAGAAAACGCCAACUGAAAAUGUGAUGCAAAUGUUCAUGCAUUUAAAUCCAUGAGAAACUUAGAUGGAUAGCCAGUUCAAGCAUAAAGUGCUCAGAUGGCCAGACCAUAUACAAGCUUAAGUACACAAAAAAAAUUUGUGCUUUGUAGACAGAGGAGGGAAAGAAAAAGAAAAAGAAAAUGUAUUUAUGUGCUGUGAGCUUACACAUAUUUAACUGGUUAGUCUGAACUUUCCUAAGGGUCCCUAAAAAUAAACUGACAACAUCUUAAACUACU